UACGAAGGGUGCAAGCGUUACUCGGAAUUACUGGGCGUAAAGCGUGCGUAGGCGGUUCGUUAAGUCUGUCGUGAAAGCCCUGGGCUCAACCUGGGAAUUGCGAUGGAUACUGGCGAGCUAGAGUACGGUAGAGGAUGGUGGAAUUCCCGGUGUAGCGGUGAAAUGCGUAGAGAUCGGGAGGAACACCCGUGGCGAAGGCAGCUCGCUGGGACGUUACUGACGCUGAGACGCGAAAGCGUGGGGAGCAAACAGG
rnacentral:rRNA from 1 species